rnacentral:rRNA from 1 species
CCUGGCUUAGGACGAGCGCUGGCGGCGUGCCUAAUACAUGCAAGUCGAACGGUCUUUCUAUGGAAGCUUGCUUCCACUGAGAAGAUAGUGGCGAACGGGUGAGUAACACGUGGGUAACCUGCCCAUAAGAGGGGGGAUAACAUCCGGAAACGGGUGCUAAUACCGCAUAGUUUUCUUGAUCGCAUGAUCGGGAAAGGAAAGACGGCCUUUGUGCUGUCGCUUAUGGAUGGACCCGCGGCGUAUUAGUUAGUUGGUGAGGUAACGGCUCACCAAGACGAUGAUACGUAGCCGACCUGAGAGGGUGAUCGGCCACAUUGGGACUGAGACACGGCCCAAACUCCUACGGGAGGCAGCAGUAGGGAAUCUUCCGCAAUGGACGAAAGUCUGACGGAGCAACGCCGCGUGAGUGAAGAAAGGUUUUCGGAUCGUAAAACUCUGUUGUCAGAGAAGAACAAGUUGGAGAGUAACUGCUCCAGCCUUGACGGUAUCUGACCAGAAAGCCACGGCUAACUACGUGCCAGCAGCCGC